UUGAUUUUGUGUUGUUAUUAUUAAUACUUAUAGAGUCAUAAUUAUAAUUUCUAUUCAGGCGUAUUACUGUAAUAAUCUAAAUUGAAGCAUUUCAAGGCACUGAAGUCUAUUAUUAAUUAAGUAUGAAUAUUAAUUCAAUAACUGUAUCAAAGAUAUGUGAAAGAAGGGAAUUCAUUGAAACAUACUGCGCUGAUCCUACAUAGGGAAAAAGACAGACACGUAAUGAUCAAGUUAACAGGAUACAUGAAAACUGUUACAUUUUAAAGAUUGAAUUUGUAACAAGAUAUUAAAAGAUGUAAAAAUGAUGCAAACCAGAGAGAGAGAGAGACAGUGGCAGGGACAAAAAAACUCCUUAACUCUUAGAAUGGAAAAUAAUCAUCCCCUGAUGAUGAUUAUAGAUUUUAAGGCAUUAAAAGAGGACUUUGGCUUGUGGUUUUUCUAGUUAAUUAUUUGACUAGAACAUCCGGUAAACAAUCAAUACUUUUUGGUCAAAUUAAUUAGCUGUCGGCUUUGUGUAAAUCUUUUGUCCAUGUUUAAAUUUGAUAAAAUUUGGUGUUGCCAGGUUAAAUUUA